AACCUAACCUAUGGACGGAAAUACCCUCGGGAAAUUAAUAAUAAGGCCCAAAAAACCUUUAUGCCGGGAAGGUUUUAUGUUCCAAAUGAUUUACCGCCGAAGGAGGGGACGGCGGCCAAUCAUUUUGUGGGGGAGGUAAGGGCCCACCAAAAUAAUAACAGGUACGGCUUCUAAAAGAAGUACCCCGAAGAUGGUUACUGAAACACGAACCCAGGCCCUAUGGGGCGAAGCAGGAAAAAAAAUUUUGCAUGGUGCAAAACCACAACAAGGUUAAUCCAAGUGUUUCCUGCUAAAGAAACUUUUUGUCGGUCCAAAAAACACCAAUAAAUAAGGGGGGGGCAAUUUCUGGUGCCACCCCCCGCGAAAAAACCACCACCUCAGGUGGUCGGAAUAAUUAUUGGGCCAAAACCAUCCGCAGCCGGUUUUGUUAUUUUUCGGUUAAAUCUGUACCCUCAACGAACAGGCUGCCGGAAAUACUGAAAAGUUAGGGAGGGGAAAAGGAAAACGGUACUCGGAAGGAAGGGGUAACUUCCUUUGAUCUAUUGAUAACCACCGGUG
rnacentral:rRNA from 1 species